GGAAGGGUGGCCGAGUGGUCGAAGGCGGCUGACUCGAAAUCAGCUGGGGGAGCAAUCCCCCCGGGGGUUCGAAUCCCUCCCCUUCCGCCA
rnacentral:tRNA from 1 species